UACGGAGGGUGCAAGCGUUAUCCGGAUUCACUGGGUUUAAAGGGUGCGUAGGAGGGCAGGUAAGUCAGUGGUGAAAUCUCCGAGCUUAACUUGGAAACUGCCGUUGAUACUAUCUGUCUUGAAUAUUGUGGAGGUGAGCGGAAUAUGUCAUGUAGCGGUGAAAUGCUUAGAUAUGACACAGAACACCAAUUGCGAAGGCAGCUCGCUAAACUGUAACUGACGCUGAGGCACGAAAGCGUGGGGAUCAAACAGG
rnacentral:rRNA from 1 species